rnacentral:ncRNA from 1 species
UUACCCUUUGCAAGGUGGUGGAAGCGGAAACGCCCACACGGCUACUGAACAGCCGAGGACACCUAAACGGAGGGUUUUU